AUUGAACGCUGGCGGCAGGCCUCACACAUGCAAGUCGAGCGAGCGGCGGACGGGUGAGUAAUGUAUGGUGACUGCCCGAUAAGGGGGGAUAACUACUGGGAACGGUGGCUAAUACCGCAUACUCUCGUAUAACCCAUCUGGGAUUAGCUAGUAGGUGGGGUAAAGGCUCACCUAGGCGACGAUCUCUCGCUGGUCUGAGAGGAGGAUAAGCCACACGGGGAAUGAGACACGGCCACGACUCCUACGGAGGAAGCAGUGGGAAAGAUUGCAAAAUGGGCACAAGCCUGAUGCAGCCAGGCCGCGUGUAUGAAGAAGGCCUUAGGGUUGUAAAGUACUUUCAGAGGGGAGGCGUUACCCGAAGAAGAAGCACCGGCUAACUCCGUGCCAGCAGCCGCGGUAAUAC
rnacentral:rRNA from 1 species